GUGGGGCACGGAGGGGACCCAGGAGGACCGCGGGGGAGGAGGCGGGAGGAGCAGGAAGUGCCCCUGCCGAGCCCCCUCCCGAGGCGAAGUCUGAACCCGGGCAGUGUCCUUUUUUUUUUAAAUGUUUAUUUUUAAUUUUUAAAACAUUUUUUGAGACUGGGCUUGGCCAUGUUGCCCAGGCUGGAGCGCAGUGGUGCAAUCCUAACUUCCGAGCUCAAGCGAUCCUCCCGCCGCAGCCUUGCAAGUUAGCUGGGGCCUCCACGCCUGGUUAAUUUAAAAAGAAAAAAAAUUUUUUUUUUAGAUAUAGGGUCUCACUACUUUGCCCACGCUGGUCUUGAACUCCUGGCCUCAAGCCAUCAUUUUAUGUUGACCUUCCAAAGCACUGAUUACAGGCAUGAGCCACCCAGACACUCCUCCCGCUAGUCAGGCCAGAGCGGCUUGCGCUGCACAGAGCUGGACCCGGGGAUGGGGAGGAGGAGACAGUUUAGACAUCCUGAGUCUGGCCCCACCCUGGACAUGCAGGUUCUCUCCAGCCUCAAGAACAUCUGCCAGGACUGGCAGCUGUGGCAUUUUGUCAGCUGGGUGUGGUACAAACGGGAAGUGACCCUGCCGGAGUGGUGGACCCAGGACCUGCACACAAGAGUGGUGCUGAGGAUUGGUAGUGUCCACUCCUAUGCCAUUGUGACUUUGACUUCAGUUCAGCGGGACUAUAGUGGUCUGAGCGUCUGUUCACGACACCCAUCAACUGCAUCGAUGACAUCACCAUCACCACCAGCGUGGAGCAAAACAGUGCAUUGCUGCCACCUGCUAUAGGUGACUGAGAAGUGGGCCCUGGGCACCUUCAGACUCAGUCCCAAUGAUGAGGACAUCCACACAGCCAGCGAGUGCCACCUGAAGGUGGUCACGGACCUUAGACUAUGGAUGCGGCACCAUGCUCUCCGGCCUCCUCUGGGAGCUCAUCAGGACCAUGGUGCAUCCAACAGAGAUAUGAGGAACAUGACGUCCUCUUCCCAGGGUACACCCACCUGCGGAGGGCCCAGCCCCUUCACUGGAGCUGCUGGUUUCUGAGGGCUGCCUGACAGGAGCAUUGGUCACCAUGAAUCCCUGUCCCUGCAGCGGGGCCAUUUCGGGCAAUCUCCUGGGUGUGGAUGGAGAACUGCUCUGAGCAGCUGAGUUCCUGUUCUGGGCUUCAUUCUGCAUGACCCAUCUCAGCAGGAUGGCCAGGGAUCUCAUCCUCUACGGCACCAAGAAAUUCAGCUUCGUAUAACUCUCAGAUACCUACAGCACCAGAAGCAGCCUGAUGCCCCAGAAGAAAAACCCCGACAGCUUGGAGCUGAUCUAGAGCAAGGCAGGGUGUGUCUUUGGGCUGGGCGCUAGAAAAGGCACUGCACCUGACCUUCCGGGAAGCUGAUCUGAGAGGCAUGUGGGACGUCUUGGUGUGGGGAUCUGUGUGGAGAUGCGUCUGGAGACAGUGAGUCUUACUUCCUGACUUUGUAAACAUGCAGCUCAGCAGUCUCUGCGAGUCAGCUCCCUGCAAUUUGCUUUCCAGGAACCAUGGAGCACGCAACACAUCCCGGUGCUGUUCUCAGUCUUCUGUGGCCUCUUGGUCACCCUUUCCUACCAUUUGAGCUGGCAGAGUAGUGACCCAUCUGU